rnacentral:rRNA from 1 species
GUGGGGAAUCUUCCGCAAUGGACGAAAGUCUGACGGAGCGACGCCGCGUGAGUGAAGAAGGCCUUCGGGUCGUAAAGCUCUGUCAUCAGGGACGAAUGGCCGGUGGAGUGGAAAGCCACCGGAUUGACGGUACCUGAGAAGGAAGCCACGGCUAACUACGUGCCAGCAGCCGCGGUAAUACGUAGGUGGCAAGCGUUGUCCGGAAUUAUUUGGCGUAAAGCGCGCGCAGGUGGGAUCUUAAGUCCAUUUUGAAAGUUCGGAGCUCAACUCCGUGAUGGGAUGGAAACUGGGAUUCUUGAGUACCGGAGAGGAAAGCGGAAUUCCCCGUGUAGCGGUGAAAUGCGUAGAUAUGGGGAGGAACACCAGUGGCGAAGGCGGCUUUCUGGACGGUGUCUGACACUGAGGCGCGAAAGCCAGGGGAGCGAACGGGAUUAGAAACCCGUGUAGUCC